GUGAAAUUCGAUGAUUUAAUAUCAUAUUGUUGAUAAAAUGGUUCCUCCACUAUUGGAUCAUAAGAUACACUAUGCUCCUAUAGUUGCGUUAUGUUUCGCAUUUCUGGUUGCACUGUGUUAAACGUAGCACCCACUGACUUCAUAAACGUCAAAAACGUCCUCCGCGUUGCACUUUCGUUUGUUGUUUGUAGUGAAUUGAAGCAGUGUUUUUUUUUUCGGCCUUUCCUGCUUUAAAUCGUGCUCUUAAAAGAUGGAAUUUCAUAAUAGCCGCGAACCCCAAAAGAAAAAAACAGCUCGCCAGUGCUACUGUGAAAAUGACGUGCAGCGAAGUCUUCUCAGCAUUAAGGAAGGAAAACAAACUGCUUACUGGGCUGCAAUAUCUUCUACAAAGAAGACACGAAAAGGACUCCAAACGGUGUUGUCGGAGGAGGAGUUGAAACUUGUUGGAUGGAUCAAAAACAUGCAACGAAAGGGUUUUCCGAUUAUAAGGGAAACUCUGAAAUCAAAAAUAAAUCGUUUUUCAAUUCUUAUCCACGACCAAAUCCCUUCUGCAACAAUGUUCCUGGUCGGAAAUCACGAUACGAACGCCAGAGGCUGUCUCCUCAGCGAGUGCCAAGGUAAGCGAGGUCAACAUUCGGGGCUGGUUUCACGACUUUAAAACAUAUGCGAUAGAGCACGGAGCUGCGCACAUUCUUCAGGAUCCGUCAAGGAUGUGGAAUGGAGACGAGACAUGCUUCUACCUAAACCCAAAAAAUAAAGCUGCGUUGGCUAUUCGUGGGAGCCACAAUGUUUACGAAGUAGAACAUGCCAGCAGACGGCUUAGUUGUGCCUCCAGUCGUCAUCUUGCCUUUGGAAAGAAUUCGCUCGGACUUGUUGCGAACAUUUCCGGCCGAGUGGGGUAUUGGAAAAAGUGCUAAAGGAUGGAUGGAUGCCAACAAUUUCGAAUUGUACAUUCUGAAGGUAUUUUACCCCUUCCUUUUGAAGACGGGAGUAACUCUUCCUGUGUAUUAUUUUGUCGACGGGCAUUCAUCGCAUAUGGCAGCAAAUGUAGCUGAUUCGUAUUGCGAGUUAGGAAUAAUUCUAGUUGUGUUAUAUCCUAACACAACUAGGAUUACACAGCCCGCUGACGCUGAUAAGCACAAUAGAAAUGUUUUUACAUUAGAUGACUUCAGACAUCAUCGUAUCUGGAUUCAAAACCUGCGGAUUUUACCCGUUCGACCCGGCCAGGUUCACACACUCCAGCAAUGAGAAAACUAAAUACCUGGAUGAAUCAUCGGUGCACCCUUUCAAAAAUGCGACUAUCAUCGAUUCAUUUCUUACGGAGCCGGAAAUCUUGCAUACGUCAGUAACCUUUCAGUCACCUAAUCAUAAAAAUUGCAAACGUAAAUUUUACCCUGUCCUUACUGCUGGUGAACGCCUAGAGGAGAUUCGCCGAAUCGAGGAGGAGAAGGAGAAAAAGAUUCAAGAGAGAAAAGAAAAGACAGAGAUACGCGCUGCAAAAAAGGUGGAAAUAGAAAAGCUGAAGGCAGCAUCACGCGAAAUACGAGCUGAGAAGAAAGUUGAACGGGAAAAACUAAAGGAAGAAACACGGUUGCUGAUGAGACAAAAAUCAGAAAAAAGAGCGAAGAAGAAACUUGAGGCUGAGAAACUAAAAGACAAAUUAAGUGAACGAAAACGUCAGCGAGUUGCCAUUAGAAAACAGGAGCGCGAAAAUCUACGAAAAAAUGAGAAUUUUAA